UAGGGGUCCUGAGAGGGAGAUCCCCCACACUGGUACUGAGACACGGACCAGACUCCUACGGGAGGCAGCAGUGAGGAAUAUUGGUCAAUGGUCGCAAGACUGAACCAGCCAUGCCGCGUGCAGGAUGACGGUCCUAUGGAUUGUAAACUGCUUUUGUACGGGAAGAAACACUCCUACGUGUAGGGGCUUGACGGUACCGUAAGAAUAAGGAUCGGCUAACUCCGUGCCAGCAGCCGCGGUAAUACGGAGGAUCCGAGCGUUAUCCGGAAUCAUUGGGUUUAAAGGGUCCGUAGGCGGCCCUGUAAGUCAGCGGUGAAAUCUCCCGGCUCAACCGGGAAACUGCCGUUGAUACUGCAGGGCUUGAAUUGCCGGGAAGUAACUAGAAUAUGUAGUGUAGCGGUGAAAUGCUUAGAUAUUAC
rnacentral:rRNA from 1 species